rnacentral:lncRNA from 1 species
CUUUAAGGAAACCACAGCACUAAAUCAAUGACAAAUGGUGAUCAACAUUCAACUUGAUGGGUAACAAAUAACAGAGCAGGGUGGGGACAGGGGUAAAUGAUUUCUCCACACCUUCAAGCUGGGUACUUGUUACCAUUCUUUUAAAAGGCAAAAGGGACAAAGUUCUACAGUCUUAAAAGGUAGAAUAACUGAGGUCCAUUUCCCAGUGUCUGCCUGGGAGAACCCGUGUGAACACUAGAGAUGCAUGAAAUAAAAUAUUUACAUUUUAUUAAGCACCCUCUAAAAUCUGCAGGAUGAAAUAGAUUAUGCUCACUAAAUCUGCGGAUUGCCUUCCCUUUUUUUAAUAGAGUUGCCAAUGCUCUCAAGAUGUACUUAAUAUAUGAAGUUCCCGUCAUGGUGCAGUGGAAAUGGAUCCGACCUGGAACCAUGAGGUUCCAGCUUCGAUCUCUGUCCUCGGAUCUGGCGUUGCUGUGGCUCUGGCGUAGGCUGGAGUCUACAGCUCUAAUUAGAUCCCCUAGCCUGGGAACCUCCAUAUGCCGCAGGUACAGCCCUCAAAGCACAAAAGACAAAAGACAAAAAAAAAAAAAAGUACUUAAUAUAAAAUGUUGAAUGUACUGUAAAUCCUCUACAGUAACAAUAAUAAAAAUUUUAAAGUGUCCCGGAAUCUUUGAGAUCGAGCCCAGUAUAUUUGCAUUUCAUUUUUAUAAAUUAAAUUUUAUUAAAAAAUCACAGUAAUUUAAGAUGUUGCAGGGCUUGCAAGGGUAAAUUUUUCUUAUCUUGGAUUCAGAAAACUUCAUACAACUUCUAGUGCAGCAAACAAAUGUCACAAAUAUGGAAUUCCCCUUAAAGAUACAAUAUAUAAAUAGAGCUAUCAAAUUUAGACCAGCAAGCCCCAGAUGGUCUAGCAGCAUCAACAAAAACCACUUUCCUUGCCAACGUGAAUUUCAUAAAGCAGAAAUCACUCUCAGGCAAGCAGAGACAGACACAUCAGUCCAUGAAUACUUAUUGCCAUAUGCUCGGUACCAGGUUAGGGACUUUAUUACAUGGGCCAUGAAACAUUAUUCUACUUAUUUAUUUAUUUUUUUGUCUUUUGUCUUUUUUAGGGCUGCACUGGCCCACCUGCUCCCAGGGUUCCCUUGGACCAGCUCCUGUGCUGUGUCUGUGAACCUGGCAGCCUACAGCCUGGCUGACAGCUUUCUCUGCUUUGGUAAGAGAUGCACAUGCACACACCCUGAGUCCCCAGACACUUGGGAUUGGGCUUGGGGUGGGGCGGGGGAGUGUUCGGCGGAAAGUGGAGGGUGAAUGCACAGCUUUAAGAGGCACAAA